rnacentral:rRNA from 1 species
CCUACGGGAGACUGCAGUAGGGAAUAUUGCUCAAUGGGGGAAACCCUGAAGCAGCAACGCCGCGUGGAGGAUGAAGGUUUUGGGAUUUUAAACUCCUUUUGUUAGAGAAGAUAAUGACGGUAUCUAACGAAUAAGCACCGGCUAACUCCGUGCCAGCAGCCGCGGUAAUACGGAGGGUGCAAGCGUUACUCGGAAUCACUGGGCGUAAAGAGCGCGUAGGCGGGAUAGCAAGUCAGAUGUGAAAUCCUAUGGCUUAACCAUAGAACUGCAUUUGAAACUGUUAUUCUCGAGUAGGGGAGAGGUAGGUGGAAUUCUUGGUGUAGCGGUGAAAUCCGUAGAGAUCAAGAGGAAUCCUCAUUGCGAAGGCGACCUGCUAGAACCUAACUGACGCUGAUGCGCGAAAGCGUGGGGAGCAAACAGGAUUAGAUACCCGAGUAGUC